GUUAUCAUUGUCAUCUUCCCAACCUUAAUGGCUUCAACUUUCAACUCCUCUAUUUCUUGGCCAACAUAGCUAACACAAACUGGAUUUUGGGGGUUUUGGACUUGUUGAGUUUGGUAACUGCUCAGGUUUUUGUGGAGACUUCACGCUAAGGAACUGCAAUGUGGCCACAGUGUUGACAUCACUGAUAAUGAGUUGGCGUAUUUAGAGAGCAUCCAUUUGUUUGUGGAAAUAUUGGAUCACUUCUUCAGCAAUGUGUGUGAACUGGAUUUGCGGGUGA